CUGACUGGAAGGAAGGUACUAAUAUAGAAGAGAGAGGGGAGACUGACUGGAAGGAAGGUACUAAUAUAGAAGAGAGAGGGGAGACUGAUUGGAAGGAAGGUACUAAUAUAGAAGAGAGAGGGGAGACUGAUGGGAAGGAAGGUACUAAUAUAGAAGAGAGAGGGGAGACUGACUGGAAGGAAGGUACUAAUAUAGAAGAGAGAGGGGAGACUGAGGGGAAGGAAGGUACUAAUAUAGAAGAGAGAGAGGGGAGACUGACUGGAAGGAAUGUACUAAUAUAGAAGAGAGAGGGGAGACUGACGGGAAGGAAGGUACUAAUAUAGAAGAGAGAGGGGAGACUGAGGGGAAGGAAGGUACUAAUAUAGAAGAGAGAGGGGAGACUGACUGGAAGGAAGGUACUAAUAUAGAAGAGAGAGGGGAGACUGACGGGAAGGAAGGUACUAAUAUAGAAGAGAGAGGGGAGACUGACUGGAAGGAAGGUACUAAUAUAGAAAAGAGAGGGGAGACUGACUGGAAGGAAGGUACUAAUAUAGAAGAGAGAGGGGAGACUGACUGGAAGGAAGGUACUAAUAUAGAAGAGAGAGGGGAGACUGACUGGAAGGAAGGUACUAAUAUAGAAGAGAGAGGGGAGACUGACUGGAAGGAAGGUACUAAUAUAGAAGAGAGAGGGGAGACUGACUGGAAGGAAGGUACUAAUAUGGAAGAGAGAGGGGAGACUGACUGGAAGGAAGGUACUAAUAUAGAAGAGAGAGAGGAGACUGAGGGGAAGGAAGGUACUAAUAUAGAAGAGAGAGGGGAGACUGAGGGGAAGGAAGGUACUAAUAUAGAAGAGAGAGGGGAGACUGAGGGAAGGAAGGUACUAAUAUAGAAGAGAGAGGGGAGACUGACGGGAAGGAAGGUACUAAUAUAGAAGAGAGAGGGGAGACUGAGGGGAAGGAAGGUACUAAUAUAGAAGAGAGAGGGGAGACUGACUGGAAGGAAGGUACUAAUAUAGAAGAGAGAGGGGAGACUGACGGGAAGGAAGGUACUAAUAUAGAAGAGAGAGGGGAGACUGAUGGGAAGGAAGGUACUAAUAUAGAAGAGAGAGGGGAGACUGACUGGAAGGAAGGUACUAAUAUAGAAGAGAGAGGGGAGACUGACGGGAAGGAAGGUACUAAUAUAGAAGAGAGAGGGGAGACUGACUGGAAGGAAGGUACUAAUAUAGAAGAGAGAGGGGAGACUGACUGGAAGGAAGGUACUAAUAUAGAAGAGAGAGGGGAGACUGACUGGAAGGAAGGUACUAAUAUAGAAGAGAGAGGUGAGACUGACUGGAAGGAAGGUACUAAUAUAGAAGAGAGAGGGGAGACUGACGGGAAGGAAGGUACUAAUAUAGAAGAGAGAGGGGAGACUGACGGGAAGGAAGGUACGAAUAUAGAAGAGAGAGGUGAGACUGAUUGGAAGGAAGGUACUAAUAUAGAAGAG